UUCUUUAAAAAUUUUUAGUUUUGUAAUCUAAAAUUGAAUUUAAAUAUUCUAAAGAAA
rnacentral:tRNA from 1 species